GUCGAGAAUCUUCCGCAAUGCGCGAAAGCGUGACGGAGCGACACCGCGUGAUGGAUGAAGUCCUUCGGGGCGUAAACAUCUUUUAUAAAGGAGGGAAUUUUUGACGUUACUUUAUGAAUAAGGGGCUCCCAAUCUCGUGCCAGCAGGAGCGGUAAUACGAGAGCCUCAAGCGUUAUCCGGAAUCAUUGGGCGUAAAGGGUGCGUAGGUGGUUUGAUUAGUCUCCCGUUAAAACUUCGAGCUUAACUCGAAAAGAGCGGGGGAAACGGUCAAACUAGAGUAUGUGAGAGGUGUGUGGAACUCAUGGUGUAGGGGUGAAAUCCGUUGAUAUCAUGGGGAACACCAAAAGCGAAGGCAGCACACUGGCACAUCACUGACACUGAGGCACGAAACCUAAGGUAGCGAAUGGGAUUAGAAACCCCAGUAGUCC
rnacentral:rRNA from 1 species